ACGCGUGAGCCUCGUGGCAGCUGCACAUAACACUUCAAAAAGAGUGUAGUCUUCACGCGCGUCUCCUAAGAUCUUUUUCCGCAUUAUCCUUCUAUAAAAUCAGCUCACACCCCCGCCCAGAACGGACCACACAGGUUGAACCAAAGCCGCUGCAGGCAUAUGGUACGACUCUCCAUCAGGCAUCAGACAAGGUCCAGUUGAGUCAGAUGAUUAACGUGACAGUAAAUGAACGGUAGAUCAUCCCGCGAAGGGACUCUAUCUUUAGAUACAACGGCACGGGUGAGUUUGUUUCAUGCUAUGCUCGUCAAGUGAGCAGUCUUUAAGUUGCGGUUUGACCUUUGUUUCGUUGUCUGUUCGACCUUGAACUUCUUAUGUUUCACUCAGUUUCUUCCUAAAACCCUACUUUGGGCAUCGUUUGUGUGUGUGUGUAUGUGUCUAUAUAUAUAGAGAUAGAGAGAGAGAGAGAGAGAGAGAGAUCAUCUUAGAAUACGUGCCUAGCUAGCUCACUCUAGCUGAUGAUGAAGUGCAGUGGAAGAGUUUUUUGUGCACUAGCAGCAUGCACUCGUGUGUAUAUGCGUGUUUUCUUUAAGUGAUUCUAUGUGAUGGAUUAGAUGAAUGCAAGGGUAGAGUUCUGUAUAAGGAUAAGGUUGUGGUUUUAGUACUAGCAGGUGUAAGCUUGCAUAUUAUCUGUCGAUGGGGUUAGAAUAUUAAUUAAGGAAGAUAAAGAGGAAGUAGCUGAUUGAUAUAUAUAUUUUAUGAUUUUGAUUGAUGGAUUAUUGAUGAGUAGUGGGAUUUCUGUUGGCCUUUGGUUCAAUCUAAGGGUUCUUUCUUUUCGAAUCGGUUGUAUCCACUGAGGAUGAGCGGAUUACUUGAUAAUUUUACCGAUAUUGAUUCAAGUAAUUAUGUUGGAUUAAUUAGAUGUUCUUAAGAUGAUCAUAUCAGUUGAAGGUUUGUUGGAUUCACACAAUCCUUGCACAGGUACGCUAUAAAUUGUUUGACUUCUAAUGAUUGUGAAGACAAUUAGUUAUCACUGGGUUUGGAAGUUCAACUUCCGAAAUUUAAAGUUUAGGCUGGAUCUGAUAUUGGGGGUACAGACUGAUUAUUGUCCUGAGAUUGCUUGGAUAUGUGGUGAUUCUUAGGUUAAAAAAUGAUACUUUUCCGGAAAUUUUAUAAAUUGAUACUUCAUUUUAUUGGAUCAAUUGAAUCAUAUAUAGAUAUAUAUCCUGAAGGUAGUAUCCAGACUAUGGUUAAAAGAAAUGUGAGAAAAUUAAGGUCGAUCUCUACUUUACUAUUUUUUGUUCAAUAAUCCUCUAUGCGCCCCUGGCAAACAUUCACAUGGCUGUUAAUUUGUAGGAGACAAAGUUUAUGAAUGAAUCUUAUAUGUGAAUUAUUUUGAUGAGUGAAUUGAGGAUUAUAGCUUUUAAAAGAAAAAAUAAUAAGGAAGGCGAUUAGGAUGCCAUGAUCAAAGAUAGAUGCUUGGUUAAAGUGCAUGCAAUUAAACAUCUUUUAAAGUGAUUGGUUGAGAUGGGAAAAUAGUUAAUUGGGAUCCUAAUGAGGAGUUUUUUGGGACAACAAUUUUUGUGUGAUGAUUUUCCAAACCAAAUCUAGUGGCCCUCAUUGGUUGGGAUCAUGGGUUUAUAUCCAUUUAUACAAGUAUGCGCAGCACAAACAAGCUAGCAUAAGCUUCCAUUCUUUAGAGCAAUCUUUCUAAUAAAUAUUCUUCUCUUGGAUAUGUUUUUGCACAAGUUAGCCUAACUUAAUUUGUUAAGUAUGAUUAAAUAGGGUGGCGAUUAAAAUUUGCUUCUUUGAAAAGGUACUAUGUAAAAUUCUUUACUCUUUUUUCUUGAAAUAUAGAAGAUAACAACUUUUAAUAUUGAUUUCCCAAAAAAUAAUUAUGUCACUUCUAUACCAACUAGAUUUAAGACGUACUAGUUCAUUUUUCUUUCAUAGUUGCGCUACCUAGAUAGGUGCCGUGUUUAUGCUCUCUCUCUCUCUCUCUCUCUCUCUCUCUCUCUCCCUUAAUGCAAAUGCCUAAACUUGUGCAACAGAUUAACAUAUCUUUCAAGUCAAACAGAGAAGUUAUGAAACUAGUCAAAUCUUGCUAGAGUCUAGUCUUUCUUCUAUUAAAUAAUAAAUUUCAUUCUCUAGUAUAUACCUAGCAAGUUUUAACUUUCAAAUAGGUUCAAUAGUCAUGCACAUAAAAUAUUGCCCCAUAUAUAUGUCAAGCAUAGACUAGAAUGAGUAACAAUAUAGGUGCGCCCAUUUGAUAAUCUCAGUAAUACUUGAACCAUGGUCUUUGUUCAAUUAUUUUAGGAGUUGUAGUGGUGUUAUGCGCUUCAUUUAGCUCCUUAGACUCAAAUCGUUAGAUAGGGUAUUAGAGUUAGUGAUAUUACCAAAAAAUGUGAAGCCCAAGGUAGGUUCGUGUAAGCAAUAAGCACUCUGGACAUUGUAGCUUGGGUAGAGAAAAAUACGAACUCCAUAUAGUGUGCUUGGGACCAAUAAAAGAACAUGCACUUCAAAAGUAUUAAGCACAUCCAAAAGAUCCACUAAAACUUGUUUUUAAGCAACUGUAAAUAUUGUUUUGCUUCUCACCUAAUUUUUGUGUACAACCAGAAGUAGAAGUUGAUUGGCCAAGGACACUCUUUUGUUCAUUUCAAUUUUUUUAGGCACUAGCCCAUGCAUUAAAAAGAGGGGGAAAAAUUUUUUUAGAAAAAAAUCAAUUACUUGGUCAUCCGAAUAUGGGUCCUUGCGAAUGCAACAAUGUUUAAUAGAAAUGGAGGCAUUUAUGAUAAUGUGUAUAAUAUAGUUGGGUACUAUUUUGUAUCUUUCUAAUUAAUUUCCUUACCCUUUUACCAAGAAAAAGCUCAUAAUUCAAAGCAUGAAGACCGGUUUUUUGUCCUUGGGAAGGCAGCCAUGAUAUGUGAUGGGUGGUGAGGGCACCAUGAAACCUUGACAAUUUGUGGUCGUGAAUUCCUUGAACAGAUUAUAGUAUUUCUCAAGUUAGGUAACUAAUGAAUACAAAUUAUUAUGCUUCUCUUCUUUAGCCAAGGGUUUAACUAUGUUUCAUCAAAUAUUGAGUUAUUAUUUUAUUUUAUCUCACAUGGAGUAAAUUUUUAUUAUCUUAUAAUUACAUUUUAAUAUUUUUUAAAAAAAUUUAUGUAUUGACAAGUGAUUAAUUCAUUUUGUUAAAAAAAAAAAGUGAUAAAGAAUGAGGUGACGUGAAAAUUAAUUAUGUUUGUUUUAUUUUUAUUUAAAAAAAAUCAAUUAGAAGGUCUGCUAGACUUAGGCUACAUUUAUAAUAAAAGGGUUAAUAUUAAGAGUUAAACGUUGCACAGAAAGCAUAAUUUAAUUUUUAUACAUUAUUAGACUGCACAACCAAUUAUUAUGUAAUUUUUGGGAGAUAUAAUUACUAAAUUUUCAUCCUUUAAAAAUAGUCUGUAUAUAUAAGAAAGAAUAAAGUUUGCAAGUUAGUCGUCUUUACUCUUGCUGUGUGAGUUUAUAAUAUCUCGAGCAUGUAAUUUUUUAUUCUUCAUUAAAAUAAAAUAGUUUGAUGUCAUUAUUCUUAGCAGUAGUAUGCGAUGGGAUCAAUAUCAUGAAAUUUUUUUUCCAGCUAACAUACUAGUUUAAAAUAAUCCAAAUAUUUGUCUCAUAUGUACAUUUCAAAGCCAAGAGAUAGGAUAUAGGUGAGCGACCUUGUCCUCCCUCCUUUCUAAAAAUAUAUUUGGUAGACUAGAUCUGUUGUAUCAUCCAUUGACUAGUCCAAUAAAACGAUGAUAACUCAUGAAUUUUUUUAUUUAUUUUAAAAAGAAAUGAAGUUAUGACUUACUCACUUUCAUCUUUAAAUCAAAUAAUAUUACAAGCUUAUGAUUAAAAUAAUAAAAUUACAAAUAAUACACAUUAAAAAUUACUAUACUAAAAAUAAAACCAUUAUAAUUAUUUUACUUAACUGUUCUACUUUUAGAAUUUACUUUACAAUUAAAAUUUGAUUGGGCAUGAUAAUUGAAAAAAUAAUAAUAAAAGUAUUUUGUAAUUGACUGUAUUAUUAUUUCUUAAAAUUUAUAAGCAAAUUUGUUUUUAUUAGUUUAAGUGUAUAAAAAGAAUAAUUUAAUCCAAAAAAACUAUUUGUAGUUGUUAAAAUUUGUAGCAAUAGGUUGCCAAAAUAACUGAAAAUCAUAAAAUUCAAUUUUCAAUUUUUUGGCAAACAAUUAAAAAUCAACGAUAGAAAUAGAAAACUGACAACAUAAAUAAAAGCGUCUUUAUAAUGUGUUUCUUUACUAUGGAGAAAGAGAAAUAAAAAGUAGAAAAUAAUAAUAAUACUAAAUGAACCCUUAACUUACGAAUUAUGUGGUAGACUCGGUGUACUUAAUAAUUUAUCGUGCUUCUGGGAUGUCGUUAGGCACGAGGGUGUAAAUGGCAACUUGGGUCGGGUCAAAUCUAGAGUGGCUCCAAAUCUAUCCACAGGCUUGGGCCGUUGGGCCUGAGGCAACUGAGCCCAAAAUCUAGUGCUACCAGUACCAGGGAAAUUUUAGAGCCCAUUGUUUUUAAUAUACAUAAAUAUCUUUUAAAAUCUUCGAAAGCAAAGGAAAUGGCACUCAUGAUGUAAUGGUUAAGGUCGAACCGUCAACGAAUGUGAGGUAUAAGCAAGGACUGUGCGCUUGACGAGGCUGCGCAUGGAACUCAACACCCUUUUUGAUUGCUGCAAGCUCUCUGUUCCUCCGCCUUCUAGCCUUAGCCUUUCAGAGCCAAACAAUAGCUAAAGGUAUGUAUGUAUUCUACUUUUAAAUGCUUUUAGUUUAAUGAGAAUAAUGUCUUUUCGCUAUUGCUAUUGCCAUUGUUGACGAUCGAUAAAGCAUUCAGCCUCUUCCCAAAGCUACGACCAGCGGCGCAAGAAAUUUGCACAGCGGUAAAAAUUGCAAUGAUGCAGUUGCCGCUCAAAGGCGUUCGGCUUUUGGGUAUAAUGAUGAGUCUUUUGGUUGCUUCUUCAACACAUUUGAUGUUUGGAUACAUAUUUUUUUGUGAAUUAAAGAAAAAAAAAAAAGUGUGAUAUUAGGAUGGGGCUGGGCUAUCCUAUUUAUGCUUUA